GUCAGUUUGCCAACACUCUGUUUCCAAAUCUACCCCAUAUUUGGUAUCAAUUUUUAAUGCAAACAAGAUCAAUUUACCGAUUACUCACCGUCCUGUUCCCUAUAUCCAUUUCUUUUUGUCCAU
rnacentral:snoRNA from 1 species